GGAACUUUUACCGCGGAAGAUCAUCCACGAGUCAAGCCUUUACCUGAGAUCACUAGAAAGUGCAUAAUCACAAGCAAGUGCUGAAAAAACUGGAUCUAUUUGCGUGUUAUUGGCCAAGCAGAUGGAAAACAGCUUUUAAAGUGACGGUGGAGAUGCCCUAAUAUAACAUUGUGAAAUCUGACGAUCGGGUCGACGGAUGGACGGCGAUGCAGAUCUGCGCAGAUAUGUAAAUAUUGUUGAACGUAGCACUCCUUCCACAGUCACCAAGUGUUUCGCAAUCCCAGCAACAGUUACUCUAUCGGCUAUACAAGAAAACAAAACAUUGUGUGUAUCCAGGAUGGAAACUUUAUUUAUCUGCUGAAUCGUCGUCAGGCCGUCUACAUUGCAAAAAAAACGAGCAGCCCAACGGCAUUGCUAGUCUCCGGAGCUGUACCUAAUCUGGGUGCUGGUAGGAUCAAAUAGAUCUUUUGGUUCGAGUUAGACAUUGCUGAUGGAGAGCAGAUUACUCAUUAAUACAUGAGUAUAGAAAGCAGGAUUUAGUGGACAACCCAGAACCAAUUUUGACCAUGACCAUCAAGUGAUACCAGCGACUUUUGUCACGAACCAGAGAUUCAUCUGCGGCAAUAAAAAUCAAUAGCUUUGGAAAGUUAUUUUCCGUACGAGGAACUACAGUCAACUUUCGCUCGUUGGGCUAAACUCGUAGCCCAUCUAGUGAAAGACUUUCGUUAGUUGGGCUGAGAUUUCAUCUGUCAAAUCAGGAAUACAAUAGAAAUUCAGAGCUGCCAACUGCGAAAAAGAAAAAAAAAACUGCCGUUGAUGUCAUAAUUUGACGUCCACCUUCGUUUUAAGUGGGCUACAGCCCAACUAACGGGCGCCCAACUAAAUCGUAGCCCAUCUAAAGAUAGCCCAACGAGUGAAAUUU